rnacentral:rRNA from 1 species
GCUCACCAAGGCAACGAUGCGUAGCCGACCUGAGAGGGUGAUCGGCCACACUGGGACUGAGACACGGCCCAGACUCCUACGGGAGGCAGCAGUAGGGAAUCUUCCGCAAUGGACGAAAGUCUGACGGAGCAACGCCGCGUGAGUGAUGAAGGUCUUCGGAUCGUAAAACUCUGUUGUUAGAGAAGAACAAGUACCGUUCGAAUAGGGCGGUACCUUGACGGUACCUAACCAGAAAGCCACGGCUAACUACGUGCCAGCAGCCGCGGUAAUACGUAGGUGGCAAGCGUUGUCCGGAAUUAUUGGGCGUAAAGCGCGCGCAGGCGGUUUCUUAAGUCUGAUGUGAAAGCCCACGGCUCAACCGUGGAGGGUCAUUGGAAACUGGGAGACUUGAGUGCAGAAGAGGAGAGUGGAAUUCCACGUGUAGCGGUGAAAUGCGUAGAGAUGUGGAGGAACACCAGUGGCGAAGGCGACUCUCUGGUCUGUAACUGACGCUGAGGCGCGAAAGCGUGGGGAGCGAACAGGAUUAGAUACCCUGGUAGUCCACGCCGUAAACGAUGAGUGCUAAGUGUUAGAGGGUUUCCGCCCUUUAGUGCUGCAGCUAACGCAUUAAGCACUCCGCCUGGGGAGU